rnacentral:rRNA from 1 species
UCAUGAAGCUGGAAUUGCUAGUAAUGGCAGGUCAGCAUACUGCCGUGAAUACGUUCCCGGGCCUUGUACACACCGCCCGUCACACCAUGAGAGUUGGGAAUACCCGAAGCCUGUGAGCUAACUUUUAGAGGCAGCAGUCGAAGGUAGAAUCAAUNAUUGGGGUGAAGUCGUAACAAGGUAAC